GUCGUAUGUCUCAUCUCAGCAGAGUUGCCGAAGUGGCGGUGUUUCCCCAACCACGACCGAACGUUGCCGUUGCCCAGGAUCUACCGUGGAACUCUACCUGGCUACCAGGAUGCCAGCUCAGGGUCCCGGGGCACCAUUCCUACAAUGUCUUCUUCGUGGGAUGAGGAAUUUGGCGCCGGCGCCACGGCCGAGGUGCAGCGGGCGCUGGACGCUGUGGACGGCUUCCUGUACGAGGGCACCUGUGUGGGGGUGCUCGGAGGGGAGCUGGAAGCCGAGUGCCAGCGCUGGGCAGACGCCUUCGUGCACCUGAGGGCCGUCGGCCGUGGAAUUACACCUCCGACGUGUGUUGAGCCUCGAAGUGCAUCCCCAAAGGAAAACAACUCUGGAUCUGCACAAAGCAACUGCGAGGCGGAGCCUGCCAUUUCACCAACGGAGGACCCACUCAAAGACGAGGUGGCCGAUCGUCUCUGUGCCCUUUUCUGGCCCGAGGUAACCGGGCAGCACCGCUCGCCCCUGCAGCACUUGCACUGCUCGAAGCCCCGGGCACGCACUGCACUUGAUGCACACUCUGCGGUUGAACUGCGGCACCCGUGACAUCUCCACGACCGGGGCUGGGAAACUGCACGGCCGUUCAGGCAGGGAGGCGCCGGGACUGGAGGGGGUCCUCACAGUGGAGCCCAAGCUGCUCGAAAAUCGCCACGUGGGAGGGUACCAUGACGCCGGCCCCCCUGGGAUCCCGCCGGGAAGGUCGUGGUCCGACGGUUCCUCUCUGCCGCCUCUGAGCUCGGAGGGCAGCCGCAGCUCGAGCAACCUGCCCGCAUCGUCGACAUCCAGCCGGCAAGGGACCAGCAGCGGCUCUUCAGUCUCCAGGCUGCCUCCUAUUGGCUCAUUGUCCCUGGGAAGCCUGUGCCUCGAGGGACGCCGGAUGUCUGUGACCUCCAGGCCCCCAACGAGGAGUGCCAGGGGCUCGCAUCUGCCCAAGCACUGAAUGUCCCGUGAGAAGACUGUCAGCAGCGUCGGACGAGUGAGCAACGCUUGCCACACGGCCACAUGUAGGAUCCUCUACAGCCUGCAGUGCACUUGCCAGUUUUCUCGCCGUCCGGCGUGGUGUCACAUACCGUCGGGUGGCAGUGGACUUUCUUUUCUCUUCGUCGCUGUGGACAAGUUCUGACGGACUUGCGCUUCCCUGGUUGCCUUUUGGGGGGUUGAUGACUGUUGUCCCAAGACGGGUUGAUCUUCUUGCCACUCUUGCGAAUGUCGUUCUUUCUUGUGGGGAGGAGGGGGCUUUGAGGUUUCUUCUUUUGUUUUGUGUGUCUGCCCCUGCUUCAGGCCACUAAACAAGCUUGGCAGCAUCGUUCCACGGUGCUCGUGCGAUGUAACUGCGAAGCAAAACAAUCGGGUUUCCGCAGUGCGAAGAGCAGCAACUAGGUGCACCUCGAAGGAUCCCAACGAAGUUCUGGGCCACUUUGAAUUGUUUGUUGAGUGCUGUCAUUGAUGGUUAGUAUGGCUGUGCUCUAUACCCAGGAUUGUGUGCAGCAUUGUCAGCGGAAUGGGUGUAGCUGCGACUUAAAGAAAGGGCUUUGGUUGGUUUGUCUGGUGUUUAGUAGAGCUGGUUCUUAUGUCUUGUGUGACAUUGUAGCACGCCAGGUGCAGCUCGCAGACCCACAAACACACACACUUCACAUAGUCGGUAUGCACCACCAUGCCAAACUUAUGUGUGGUUCCGAAAUGUGCACCUUUAUCUUUUGCCCCCCGUUUUACUUUUGAUAUCCUUCGGGAUAUUGCUAUGCCCUCUGCAGUAUGUAAAUGGGACCUUUCAGUGCAUAUUUGAACUUGAAUAUCUGUUACUCGUUUCUUUGGACAUUGCACCUUGGGAAAGUUAGAUGAAAUUAUGGUUGUAUUUUUUUGUUUAUCCUUCCACGAUUGUCCUCACAUUGUACAAUAGCCACGUUUGAUUUACUUACACCUCCUGCACCGGUACAGAAAAGUGUAGGCUGGUGUACCUCCGGCCAUAUCUAAAUACACUUACCGGAUCCAGUAGGCUGCCCUACACUUUUCUGCACUGGUGCAGGAGGUGUAAGUAUAUCGAACGCAGCUACUGUUCCUUGGUAAGAAUAUUUUUGUAUCUUCGUGUACUUUUUUUUUAUUGCAAUUUUUUUUAGAAAUUGCACCUUGGGAAACGUGAGAUAAAAUUAUGGUUGUAUUUCUUUUUUUUUUUUUUUUCACAUUGUGCAAUGUUUUUUGGUAAGAAUACUUUUGUAGCUUCGUGUGUGUAUUAUUUAUUUAUUAUUAUUUUUUUUUUCUUUUCAGAUGAGAUUGUUGGUAUUAUUCGAGUCAGAAAAUCGCCCGAGACAGAUUAUAUUCCGUUUCCGAAUUAAAACUUGUUUCAAACCA
rnacentral:lncRNA from 1 species